rnacentral:rRNA from 1 species
GUAGGGAAUAUUGCGCAAUGGACGAAAGUCUGACGCAGCGACGCCGCGUGAGUGAUGAAGGCCUUAGGGUCGUAAAGCUCUGUUGAAUGGGAAGAAAAAAAUGACGGUACCAUUCGAGGAAGGACCGGCUAACUUCGUGCCAGCAGCCGCGGUAAUACGAGGGGUCCUAGCGUUGUUCGGAAUCAUUGGGCGUAAAGGGUGUGUAGGUGGCCAUGUAAGUCAGGUGUGAAAGCCCCGGGCUCAACCCGGGAAGUGCACUUGAUACUGCGUGGCUUGAGUACCGAAGAGGGUAGUGGAAUUCCAGGUGUAGUGGUGAAAUACGUAGAUAUCUGGAGGAACACCGGUGGCGAAGGCGGCUACCUGGUCGAGUACUGACACUGAGACACGAAAGCAUGGGGAUCAAACAGGAUUAGAUACCCGUGUAGUCC